rnacentral:rRNA from 1 species
UAUCCGCCAGGGUACUACGAGCAUAGCUUAAAACCCAAAGGACUUGGCGGUGUCUCAGAUCCACCUAGAGGAGCCUGUUCUAGAACCGAUAACCCCCGUUAAACCUCACCACUUCUUGUUAAUCCCGCCUAUAUACCGCCGUCGCCAGCUUACCCUAUGAAGGAAGAACAGUAAGCAAAAUGGACAAAGCCAAAACGUCAGGUCGAGGUGUAGCGCACGAAGUGGGAAGACAUGGGCUACAUUUUCUAUUACAGAAUAUCACGAAUGGUUUACUGAAGCACACACCUGAUGGAGGAUUUAGUAGUAAAAGCAAAUUGAG